AGUGGACGCUGGCGGUAGGCCUAACACAUGCAAGUCGAACGGCAGCACAGUAAGAGCUUGCUCUUACGGGUGGCGAGUGGCGGACGGGUGAGGAAUACAUCGGAAUCUACUUUUUCGUGGGGGAUAACGUAGGGAAACUUACGCUAAUACCGCAUACGACCUACGGGUGAAAGCAGGGGAUCUUCGGACCUUGCGCGAUUGAAUGAGCCGAUGUCGGAUUAGCUAGUUGGCGGGGUAAAGGCCCACCAAGGCGACGAUCCGUAGCUGGUCUGAGAGGAUGAUCAGCCACACUGGAACUGAGACACGGUCCAGACUCCUACGGGAGGCAGCAGUGGGGAAUAUUGGACAAUGGGCGCAAGCCUGAUCCAGCCAUACCGCGUGGGUGAAGGAGGCCUUCGGGUUGUAAAGCCCUUUUGUUGGGAAAGAAAAGCAGCAGGUUAAUACCCCGCUGUUCUGACGGUACCCAAAGAAUAAGCACCGGCUAACUUCGUG
rnacentral:rRNA from 1 species